AUUGAACGCUGGCGGCAUGCUUUACACAUGCAAGUCGAACGGCAGCGGGUCCUUCGGGAUGCCGGCGAGUGGCGAACGGGUGAGUAAUGCAUCGGAACGUACCGUGUAAUGGGGGAUAACGUAGCGAAAGUUACGCUAAUACCGCAUACGCCCUGAGGGGGAAAGCGGGGGAUCGCAAGACCUCGCGUUAUACGAGCGGCCGAUGUCGGAUUAGCUAGUUGGUGGGGUAAAGGCCCACCAAGGCGACGAUCCGUAGCGGGUCUGAGAGGAUGAUCCGCCACACUGGGACUGAGACACGGCCCAGACUCCUACGGGAGGCAGCAGUGGGGAAUUUUGGACAAUGGGGGCAACCCUGAUCCAGCCAUGCCGCGUGCGGGACGAAGGCCUUCGGUUGU
rnacentral:rRNA from 1 species